GCACUACUGAGGAGUCCCAUACUAGGACGAAACGGUUGUCCAGUGC
rfam:Schistosoma haematobium scaffold491_37, whole genome shotgun sequence.